rnacentral:rRNA from 1 species
AGUGAACGCUGGCGGUAGGCCUAACACAUGCAAGUCGAACGGCAGCACAGUAAGAGCUUGCUCUUACGGGUGGCGAGUGGCGGACGGGUGAGGAAUACAUCGGAAUCUACUUGUUCGUGGGGGAUAACGUAGGGAAACUUACGCUAAUACCGCAUACGACCUACGGGUGAAAGCAGGGGAUCUUCGGACCUUGCGCGAUUGAAUGAGCCGAUGUCGGAUUAGCUAGUUGGCGGGGUAAAGGCCCACCAAGGCGACGAUCCGUAGCUGGUCUGAGAGGAUGAUCAGCCACACUGGAACUGAGACACGGUCCAGACUCCUACGGGAGGCAGCAGUGGGGAAUAUUGGACAAUGGGCGCAAGACUGAUCCAGCCAUACCGCGUGGGUGAAGAAGGCCUUCGGGUUGUAAAGCCCUUUUGUUGGGAAAGAAAAGCAGCAGGUUAAUACCCCGCUGUUCUGACGGUACCCAAAGAAUAAGCACCGGCUAACUUCGUG